rnacentral:rRNA from 1 species
AUACAGAGGUGGCAAGCGUUGUUCGGAUUUAUUGGGCGUAAAGGGUCCGCAGGCGGUCCGGAAAGUUGGAUGUGAAAUCCCACGGCUCAACCGUGGAACUGCAUUCAAAACUUUCGGACUAGAGUAUGAGAGGGGCAAAGGGAAUUCCCGGUGUAAGGGUGAAAUCUGCAGAGAUCGGGAGGAACACCAGUCGCGAAGGCGCUUUGCUGGCUCAUUACUGACGCUCAGGGACGAAAGCUAGGGUAGCAAACGGGAUUAGAAACCCCAGUAGUCC